rnacentral:rRNA from 1 species
GACGAACGCUGGCGGCGUGCUUAACACAUGCAAGUCGAACGGAAAGGCCCUGCUUUUGUGGGGUGCUCGAGUGGCGAACGGGUGAGUAACACGUGAGUAACCUGCCCUUGACUUUGGGAUAACUUCAGGAAACUGGGGCUAAUACCGGAUAGGAGCUCCUGCUGCAUGGUGGGGGUUGGAAAGUUUCGGCGGUUGGGGAUGGACUCGCGGCUUAUCAGCUUGUUGGUGGGGUAGUGGCUUACCAAGGCUUUGACGGGUAGCCGGCCUGAGAGGGUGACCGGCCACAUUGGGACUGAGAUACGGACCAGACUCCUACGGGAGGCAGCAGUGGGGAAUAUUGCACAAUGGGCGGAAGCCUGAGGCAGCAACGCCGCGUGCGGGAUGACGGCCUUCGGGUUGUAAACCGCUUUCGCCUGUGACGAAGCGUGAGUGACGGUAAUGGGUAAAGAAGCACCGGCUAACUACGUG